rnacentral:rRNA from 1 species
AACGAACGCUGGCGGCAUGCCUAACACAUGCGAGUCGAACGAUGGUCUUCGGAUCAUAGUGGCGCACGGGUGCGUAACGCGUGGGAAUCUGCCCUUGGGUUCGGAAUAACAGUUGGAAACGACUGCUAAUACCGGAUGAUGUCGAUAAGACCAAAGAUUUAUCGCCCGAGGAUGAGCCCGCGUCGGAUUAGCUAGUUGGUGGGGUAAAGGCCUACCAAGGCGACGAUCCGUAGCUGGUCUGAGAGGAUGAUCAGCCACACUGGGACUGAGACACGGCCCAGACUCCUACGGGAGGCAGCAGUGGGGAAUAUUGGACAAUGGGCGCAAGCCUGAUCCAGCAAUGCCGCGUGAGUGAUGAAGGCCUUAGGGUUGUAAAGCUCUUUUACCCGGGAAGAUAAUGACUGUACCGGGAGAAUAAGCCCCGGCUAACUCCGUG